GUCACUUUGGCGGAGUGGUUAACGCGGUGCCCUGCUAAGGCAUUGUCCUUUGGACGCGCAGGUUCGAAUCCUGCAGGUGACG
rfam:Lichtheimia corymbifera JMRC:FST:9682, FST 9682, WGS project CBTN01000000 data, contig: SCAF00005